rnacentral:rRNA from 1 species
AGGGUUCGAUUCUGGCUCAGAACGAACGCUGGCGGCAGGCUUAACACAUGCAAGUUGAACGGGAUUUAUGAUAGCUUGCUAUUAUAAAUGAGAGUAGCGCACUGGUGAGUAACACGUGGGAACAUGCCUUUUGGUGGGGGACAACAGUUGGAAACGACUGCUAAUACCGCAUAAGCCCGGAAGGGGAAAGAUUAAUUGCCGAAAGAUUGGCCCGCGGAAGAUUAGGUAGUUGGUGGGGUAAAGGCCUACCAAGCCGACGAUCUAUAGCUGGUCUGAGAGGACGAACAGCCACAUUGGAACUGAGACACGGUCCAGACUCCUACGGGAGGCAGCAGUGAGGAAUAUUGGGCAACGGAGGCAACUCUCGACCCAGCCAUGCCGCGUGAGUGAAGAAGGUCUUCGAAUUGUAAAGCUCUUUCGGGUGUGACGAUGAUGACGGUAACACCUAAAGAACGCCCCGGCAAACUUCGUGCCAGCCGCCGC